CAUCUAGCAACCACUUAUUACUUUCAUUAAUAUUUACCUAAUCAAUAAGCGUCUCCAAAAGUGUGUCAGGGUAGCAAUGCUCUAUUGUACUUUAUGCAAACCAAAUUGUCCAAGUGUUCUUAAAAUAGCCGAUUUCUUUGCUUACUAUAAAGCUGUCAUUGAUUUACAGUAACAAAUAAAUUAAAUUUCAAAUUCAAAAGGUUG
rnacentral:misc_RNA from 1 species